rnacentral:rRNA from 1 species
UACAGAGGUCUCAAGCGUUGUUCGGAUUCAUUGGGCGUAAAGGGUGCGUAGGUGGCGCUGUAAGUCGGGUGUGAAAUUUCGGAGCUUAACUCCGAAACUGCAUUCGAUACUGCGGUGCUUGAGGACUGGAGAGGAGACUGGAAUUCAUGGUGUAGCAGUGAAAUGCGUAGAUAUCUGGAGGAACACCGGUGGCGAAGGCGGCAUCCUGGACCGGUAUUGACGCUGAGGCGCGAAAGCUAGGGGAGCAAACGGG